rnacentral:rRNA from 1 species
UACAGAGGGUGCAAGCGUUAAUCGGAAUGACUGGGCGUAAAGGGCAUGUAGGUGGAAGGCCAAGUUUGAUGUGAAAGCCCCGGGCUUAACCUGGGAAUGGCGUUGAAGACUGGUCAUCUAGAGUUUGGCAGAGGGCCGCGGAAUUUCCGGUGUAGCAGUGAAAUGCGUAGAGAUCGGAAAGAACACCAGUGGCGAAGGCGGCGGCCUGGGCCAAAACUGACACUGAGGUGCGAAAGCGUGGGGAGCAAACAGG